GACGAACGCUGGCGGCGUGCUUAACACAUGCAAGUCGAACGGAAAGGCCCUGCUUUUGUGGGGUGCUCGAGUGGCGAACGUGUGAGUAACACGUGAGUAACCUGCCCUUUACUUUGGGAUAACUUCAGGAAACUGGUGCUAAUACCGGAUAGGAGCUCCUGCUGCAUGGUGGGGGUUGGAAAGUUUCGGCGGUUGGGGAUGGACUCGCGGCUUAUCAGCUUGUUGGUGGGGUAGUGGCUUACCAAGGCUUUGACGGGUAGCCGGCCUGAGAGGGUGACCGGCCACAUUGGGACUGAGAUACGGCCCAGACUCCUACGGGAGGCAGCAGUGGGGAAUAUUGCACAAUGGGCGGAAGCCUGAUGCAGCAACGCCGCGUGCGGGAUGACGGCCUUCGGGUUGUAAACCGCUUUCGCCUGUGACGAAGCGUGAGUGACGGUAAUGGGUAAAGAAGCACCGGCUAACUACGUG
rnacentral:rRNA from 1 species